GUAGAAUCUUUCACGAUGAUGAUGCAUAGUUCAGUUGACUCACGCGGAAUGAUAACUAAUCUUACUAUUUUUUGAAAUUGGUCUUUCACCCCUACCUGACCCGAUUUCCC